rnacentral:rRNA from 1 species
GAUGAACGCUAGCGGCAGGCCUAACACAUGCAAGUCGAGGGGCAGCACAGAAACAGCAAUGUUUUGGUGGCGACCGGCGGACGGGUGCGUAACGCGUAUGCAACCUACCUUUAACAGGGGGAUAACGGAGAGAAAUUUCCACUAAUACCCCAUAACAUCGAUCAAGGCAUCUUGAUUGGUUGAAAACUCCGGUGGUAAAGAUGGGCAUGCGUUGUAUUAGGUAGUUGGUGAGGUAAUGGCUCACCAAGCCUACGAUACAUAGGGGGACUGAGAGGUUAGCCCCCCACACUGGUACUGAGACACGGACCAGACUCCUACGGGAGGCAGCAGUGAGGAAUAUUGGUCAAUGGGGGCAACCCUGAACCAGCCAUGCCGCGUGCAGGAAGACGGCUCUAUGAGUUGUAAACUGCUUUUAAACAGGGAUAAAGCACUGUAUGUAUACUGUGUUGAAGGUACUGUAAGAAUAAGGAUCGGCUAACUCCGUGCCAGCCGCCGCAGUAA